CAGAACUAUCCCUCCACUCUGUACUACAACACCUGUUCACUAUUACCUUCAAGAGCUCCACUGUACCAAGGAAGAACACAGACACAGCAGUAAUGGAUAGGUGUAUACCACACUGUGGGGACAAAAACAAAGGUAGUUCCAUUGGCAACGUACAUGGAGGUGGAGGCAAUGCGAACAUUGGCAAUGCAUCAGGAGGUGGAGGAAGUCACAUUGGCAACGUACACGGUGGUGGAGGCAACGAGAACAUUGGCAAUGUAUCAGGAGGUGGAGGAAGUCACAUUGGCAACAUACAUGGGGGUGGAGGCAACACCGGCAUUGGCAACGUUGGAAAACCAUCUGGAUGCCAUUAGGGCCGCUUCACCAAAAGCCUGUCAACAUCCCUGCUCACACUGGGGUGAAGAUUAUGAAAACUGGGUGCAUAUUAAAGUUCUUAGUUCUAUCAGAUUCACUCUAGGAGUAUGGUUUUAAUCAGCAUUGUAACCGUUCUUGUUUUUGUCAAAUAAAUAAAUGUUACAACACUGA